AUAUUUUGUGGUUUAUGAAUGGGAUGAUUGGGCUUUCACACUCAAGUGUGAGAUGUGCCUCUCUUAGAUCUUGUUACUAUGUCAGCACAUUACCUGUCUGACA
ensembl:snoRNA